GCUCACUGCAACCUCGACCUCCAGGCUCAGGUGAUCCUCUCACCUUAGCCUCUCGAGUAAGUAGCUGGGACUACAGGCAUAUACCUGCAUUCCUGGCUAAUGUUUUGUAUUUUUUGUAGAAACAGGGUUUCACCUUGUUGCCCUGGCUGGUCUCACUCUUGGGCUGAAGCCAUCUGCCGGCCUCAGCCUCUCUGAGUGUUGGAAUUACAGAUGUGAGCCACUGUGGCCAGUCGACAAUUUUUAAAGGUUAACAAAAAAUUUUAAAAGCCUUUCUUGAACUGCAGCAUGAAGAUCACAUUCAUUCUAAUAAGACUGUAUUUAAACUAUGGACGAGAAGACGCCUGAUUUUUUGGAAGUGUCUGCACCGUUAUUGACGUUAUUUUCUCUCUUAGGUAUUACAGGAUACUCGGUGUUUUUGUCUUUCAAAGUGCUUUAAAAAGUGCUUAAAGGGGUUUAAAAAUCCCACACCCGGAGGAAAAAGAGGAAAAUGAAAAUCAAAUAAUUUCCUAUCCUGUCAAUGAUAUUCCUCUCACUAUCAGUUCACUGUGUUCUAUGUGUUCUGAGGAUAUAUUCCAUGCCCUACAUCCUGGGGAAAAAAUAAUAUGUGCCCCUGGGAAAGAAAAUUCUAUUGUGCUUGGAAGCUACCCUAGAGCUGUUUCUUUUAAGAAGGGAAAUAAAUUGGAACAACAUCCUAAGAAACAUGACAUCCUAUGUGUCAUUCAUUGCAGCUCAGUUUCUAAUCAGAAGUUACAGUUUGACCAAAAUGAAGUAUUUUAUGGUACCGGCAAAUGUUUGGGAAUAUUUAUUUCUAUAUUAUCAAAUAAGAAAGGCACAAUGAUAUGUCUUUAAUGAGAGGUUUAUAACUACACGUAGUUAUAGCAAUUAAAUGUUGGUCAUCUUAGAUAGUAAAUAUCAUUGGUCUAUUUUCCAUUGUACUUAAUAUUAUAGUUGACCUCUGGGUUUGAACUAUUCAAAAAUAGGUUUAUAUGUACAAAAAUUCUACUUACUAGUGUUAUUGCUAUGAGAGAUUUUCCAUUCUGGAAUAGACCCAAUCACUGUACCACCUAUAACUGCAUUUGCCACUCUAGUCUUUCUUUUGAUUUUCCAGCUACUAGAUAUGAUUAAACCUGUAAUAAAUGGAGUGAAGCCUCUAUAUUACAUUCUCCAGGGAGUUUUUU
rnacentral:lncRNA from 1 species